GACGAACGCUGGCGGCGUGCUUAACACAUGCAAGUCGAACGGAAAGGCCCUGCUUUUGUGGGGUGCUCGAGUGGCGAACGGGUGAGUAACACGUGAGUAACCUGCCCUUGACUUUGGGAUAACUUCAGGAAACUGGGGCUAAUACCGGAUAGGAGCUCCUGCUGCAUGGUGGGGGUUGGAAAGUUUCGGCGGUUGGGGAUGGACUCGCGGCUUAUCAGCUUGUUGGUGGGGUAGUGGCUUACCAAGGCUUUGACGGGUAGCCGGCCUGAGAGGGUGACCGGCCACAUUGGGACUGAGAUACGGCCCAGACUCCUACGGGAGGCAGCAGUGGGGAAUAUUGCACAAUGGGCGGAAGCCUGAUGCAGCAACACCGCGUGCGGGAUGACGGCCUUCGGGGUGUAAACCGCUUUCGCCUGUGACGAAGCGUGAGUGACGGUAAUGGGUAAAGAAGCACCGGCUAACUACGUG
rnacentral:rRNA from 1 species